rnacentral:tRNA from 1 species
GUCCUUAUGGUGUAAUGGUUAGCACUGAAGUUUGUGGAACUUCCAGUUCGGGUUCAAAUCCCGAUAAGGACC